UUAUGGCCAUAUCAUGUUGAAACACCAGUUCUCAUAUGAUCACCAAAGUUAAUGUCAAGGCUGGCCAGUACGAAGAUGGGUGACUGCUUGAGAAUACCAGAUGUUGUAAG